GCGGGGCCAGGCCAUGUCCCCGCAUCUACCUGACUCCAGACCCAGCGCUUUUUCCCUUAGCCACUGGGGGGGCAGGGAUGGCACUGGCCACUCCUCUGAGAUAGUGUGUUCCACUCAGGGGCGGUCAGAGUGGUUUCAAAAGCCGGAGGAAAGAGGAAAGCCAAGGAUCACGGACCUCCUGUUUGCCCGAGGGUCUUGGCUCCUGGAGGAGUCCCACCAGUGCCCAGGCCCAUCCGGCCUCACUCUCCCACCGGGCUCACCUUCCUCAGGCUGUGGCCAGAGGGAGGCCAGGCAUUGCACUGAAAUGCAGGCCGCUACUGCUUUCAUGGGCAGCUCUUGGCACCCCAAGCGAGCUGUCCUGGCCUCUCUCUUGUGCCUCUGCCCUCCGCCUCUGAGAUCCCGCUGACACUGGCUCGACAUCCUGUAUGCACUAGGGCCUUCCCUGUAUGUUAUUCAACUGACAUUCGUUUGACCACUGUUUAUUGAGCACCUACUGUAUGCCAGGGGCUGUUCUAGGUACUGAACAAAACAGCCCCAUUCCUGCUGGUGGGGAGAGCAGACAACAAGGGAAAAAAGGAAAACCAGUAGAAUGCCAGGUGGGGGUAAGUUUAAUGGAGAAAAGUAAGGCAGGGAGGAGGAUGGGGAGGAGAGGGGCUGUUUUCAGCUUUAAAUAGAUAGGUCAGAGACAAUCUCACCCAAAAAUCACCCUGAUGCAGCCUUGCAAUAAUCCCCUGCAGCUAAAAAUGUGACUCCCAAACUGCAGAUGGGGAAACGAAACUUUCGGGAUUGAAUCUCAAGCCCAUGCCUGCCAGCCCAACCAGCAGUGGGACCAAGGUGGUGGUGCAGGCCCUCCACCUCCCACGGGCCCUCUCUCCUAACUGCACCAAUGGCACUGGGAGUCCUUUGACACAUGAGGAAACCGAGGCUCUCAGAGGUGAAGCCCUGUGCCCAGUCCCACAGGAGCAAUGGCGGGGCUGGGGCUCAGCCCCAGUGCGCCCAGGGAAGGCCCUGGGAAUGGCCUCUUGGCAAGAACGAGCUGCUUUCGCAAGCCUCCCUCUCCAGCCUCCGCUCUGGGCUUGCUGCAAUUCAAUCCGCCUCUUUGCUGUCCUCCAAGAGUCCUCUUCCCUCUCCCAGAGUCCCUCUGGCCCUCUCUCCCAGGUCAGAUGAGUCCCUAAAUGCCCAACCACCCCUGUUCUGCCUCUUCAAUUAACUUCCGGCCCAUCACUAACUCCACAUUUGCCUGAAACCUAAAAAGACAUCUUACGUAUGGCGCAGUGCGGGCAGACAGCUGGAGUAUACCUGUGAGGGGAUAGGGGGCUUCUCAGUGAGCUUCCCAUCCGAAUUUGUUCAGUGAGCCCCAAGCACCAGUCCAACCUUUCUGGACACUGCAGUGUAGUAGAAAGACCUUGGUCGUGGAGGAGAUGGUCAUGGGUUAAGUGCUGGCCAUGCAGCGUUGAAAGUGACCUUGUGCUUGGGGCUGCAGGUUCCUUAUAAAAACACUACAAGUCGUUUGUAUCUUGCGAGGUUGUUACAAAGAUAAAAGGCAAAGGACAGUGUCUGUCAAGAGAUAGAAUUUAAUAGACAGCGUAUAAAGAGAAGACUUAGCAGAGCCCGGCAGACAAACAUCAAGAAUUUGCUGAACCGAGUGGAGAAGUCUGUAUGAUGGUGAACCACCACCACCAGCAGAGCAGUAGCUGCAUUCACUGUGCCCCUACACUCUGAGGCAGGCACUGUUAGUAGCUAUCCAAUUGUACAGACGGAAAAAGAGCACAGAGAGGUUAAGCCACUUGCCUACGGUCACACAGCAGGCAAGUGGCAGGGAUUAUGAACCUCAACUGUCCAGCUCCCAAGUUCAAGCUCUUAACCCUUAUGCGAGGCUAGUAAGUGGAGGGUUCAGGAGUUGAAACAACUGCUCAUUGAAACACAGGGAUUAAGUGCUGACCCAGGAGGGGGUCGUGGCCAGUCCCACUCUAGAGCUGUUGCUCUUACUCAUGCACCCGCUUGUCAGAGCUAACAGGGACUCCAGGAAUAAUCUAGCCCUACCCAACACUCUUUUUUCCCCCCAGCAGGAGCCUGAGGUGCAGAGAGGUAGUGCGACCUGUCCAAAGUCGCAGAGCCAGUUACUUGAAGAAUCAGGGCUGGCAGGAGCAGUCAGGAAAGGAGUCUUGAGGAUGAAAGAGAAUGUUUCCAGUAGAAGGUGGUCCAAGCAGAGGGAGCAGCCCCUGCAAAGGUCAAGAGGCCGUGAAAGUCUCUCUUUUGAGAACAGUGAGCUCUGAGGCUUGUGCAAAGGUGGGGGCCAGAGCGGACAGAGCAUGAGGCUGGUUUUUCAUAUUGAAUAUUUCCACCUGUCUUUUUUUUUAACACUUGCUUGUUGUUUUAUGUUGCCAAUAUCUUUCCUUAGUUCUUUCGCGUGUUUCUGACGCUUAUGUACAAUGCGUGGUCCGUCAGUUCCAAGACCGCACUGGUAUCUCUACUCAGUUUGCAGGCUCUCUUUCGAAGCCAUGUGCCCCAGCUGACAGCGCGGUGCAGAGGUGGCCGCACGCUGCCCUAACCCCAGCAGUGAGAGCAGAUGGACACACAUGGCUCCAGUACCCUCUGCCCCAAACCAACGCCAGAGUAGUAACAGCGCAAAGUGUCGCUAAACCUUGGGAGUUAUGGAGAAACCUGGCACUCCUGGGGAGACAGAAGGGGUUUGCACGCUGGUGUGUGUAGGGUGGGGGCGGUGCCGCCACCAGGAGACGGGGCAGAGCGAAGUCUCGAGGGUGGCGGAGAAUAUUGUGGGAGAGAAUAUAGGGGUUGAUUUUCGCUGGUGCCAAUGCAUCAAGCCCUCCGGGGUUACCUCCCCAAACCCGCACCCGCUGUCGCUUGCACGGAGGCCCAGGCAGAAAGCACAGGUGCCCUGCCGGAGUAAUUCUGGGCAGCGCAGCCGGCGAGGUGGAGCUGCAGGAACGCAGACAGGCCUCCGCAGUUACUCCGCCGCCCCGCCCCUUCCAGACCUCCAGUCGGGGGACUGUGACCUGUGCGGGCGACCUCUCCCCUGGAGCUUGGCCCCGGGGCACCGAGCGUCAGAACCAGCCCCCUGGCGUUAGUUCCCUGAGGGGCUGGGGGUGGCAGUGCCUAACCCAGUGAAGGACUGUGUGUUUCUGGUGACGGGGUCGGAGGUGGUCUCCACGCUGGGACUGUCAUCUCCUUGGGCUCGGUGCUGACAGAGACGAGGGUCAGGCUUAAGUUCUUACCAGCAUCAGAGAGAAUAGAUGGAGACCCCCAAGAAACGCACCCCUGGGUUAAAACAGGAAAUCCAAGGAGGACGACGGCUUCGAAAGAAGCAAACCGAUCAGAGAUACCACUG